rnacentral:rRNA from 1 species
UACAGAGGGUGCGAGCGUUAAUCGGAAUUACUGGGCGUAAAGGGUGCGUAGGUGGUUGCAUAAGUUAGGUGUGAAAUUCCUGGGCUUAACCUGGGGACUGCGCCUAAGACUGUGCGGCUAGAGUACUGUAGAGGAAGGUGGAAUUUCCAGUGUAGCGGUGAAAUGCGUAGAUAUUGGAAGGAACAUCGGUGGCGAAGGCGACCUUCUGGACAGAUACUGACACUGAGGCACGAGAGCAUGGGGAGCAAACAGG